rnacentral:rRNA from 1 species
AGGUUAAGUUAGAAAGGGCGCACGGUGAAUGCCUAGGCACUAGGAGCCGAUGAAGGACGGGACUAACACCGA